ACGAACGCUGGCGGCGUGCUUAACACAUGCAAGUCGAACGAUGAAGAAGAGAAACGCGAACUUCGGUUCAAAUUUCACUUCGGAUUAGUGGCAGACGGGUGAGUAACGCGUGAGCAACCUACCUCUUACAAAGGGAUAGCCUCGGGAAACCGUGAUUAAUACCAUAUGACACCUUCAUAAGGCAUCUUAAGAAUGUUAAAGCUACGGCGGUAAGAGAUGGGCUCGCGUCCCAUUAGCUAGUUGGUGAGGUAACGGCCCACCAAGGCGACGAUGGGUAACCGGCCUGAGAGGGUGAACGGUCACAUUGGAACUGAGACACGGUCCAAACUCCUACGGGAGGCAGCAGUGGGGAAUAUUGCACAAUGGAGGGAACUCUGAUGCAGCGACGCCGCGUGAGCGAUGAAGGAAUUCGUUUCGUAAAGCUCUGUUCUAUGGGAAGAAAAGGACUGUACCAUAGGAGAAAGCCCCGGCUAAAUACGUG
rnacentral:rRNA from 1 species